CUUGCAGACAUGUGUCUCUUCACCAGCAUGACUGAGGUGAGCGCCCAUCAGCACUGCGUCUAAGCACACCAGACCAAUGGAGGUUUGUUUCCAACGUGAAGAAUUCCAGAAGGAAUGAUACAUUCUAGAGACCUACAUGAAUAGUCAUGUGAAAAAGUCCCAACAAAAUGCUCUGCAGCUGUCUCCCCUUAUACCAGGCACCUCCCCCACACAAAGCCUGGAGACCAGAGAAGCCCCACACACCUAAGGUCUCACAGACAUCCCCAUAAAUUUGACAUCAUGAGCAUGUAUGGAUUAUUCUGAAAGACACAAAGUCACUGGUUCUUCCUUUUAUCCAGGCAGCAGAGUCAUCCUGGAU